UACAGAGGGUGCGAGCGUUGUUCGGAAUUAUUGGGCGUAAAGCGCUUGUAGGCGGCUUGUUAAGUUCCGUGUGAAAUCCCCAGGCUUAACCUGGGAAGUGCGCGGAAAACUGGCGAGCUUGAGUGCCGGAGAGGGUCGCGGAAUUCCCGGUGUAGAGGUGAAAUUCGUAGAUAUCGGGGAGGAACACCAGUGGCGAAGGCGGCGACCUGGACGGACACGUGACGCUGAGACGCGAAAGCGUGGG
rnacentral:rRNA from 1 species